rnacentral:rRNA from 1 species
GACGUAGGGCGCGAGCGUUGUUCGGAUUUAUUGGGCGUAAAGAGCUCGUAGGCGGCUUGUCGCGUCGACUGUGAAAGCCCGGGGCUUAACCCCGGGUCUGCAGUGGAUACGGGCAGGCUAGAGGUAGGUAGGGGAGAAUGGAAUUCCCGGUGUAGCGGUGAAAUGCGCAGAUAUCGGGAGGAACACCGGUGGCGAAGGCGGUUCUCUGGGCCUUACCUGACGCUGAGGAGCGAAAGCGUGGGGAGCGAACAGG